AGUGAACGCUGGCGGUAGGCCUAACACAUGCAAGUCGAACGGCAGCACAGUAAGAGCUUGCUCUUACGGUUGGCGAGUGGCGGACGGGUGAGGAAUACAUCGGAAUCUACUUUUUCGUGGGGGAUAACGUAGGGAAACUUACGCUAAUACCGCAUACGACCUACGGGUGAAAGCAGUGGAUCUUCGGACCUUGCGCGAUUCAAUGAGCCGAUGUCGGAUUAGCUAGUUGGCGUGGUAAAGGCCCACCAAGGCGACGAUCCGUAGCUGGUCUGAGAGGAUGAUCAGCCACACUGGAACUGAGACACGGUCCAGACUCCUACGGGAGGCAGCAGUGGGGAAUAUUGGACAAUGGGCGCAAGCCUGAUCCAGCCAUACCGCGUGGGUGAAGAAGGCCUUCGGGUUGUAAAGCCCUUUUGUUGGGAAAGAAAAGCAGCAGGUUAAUACCCCGCUGUUCUGACGGUACCCAAAGAAUAAGCACCGGCUAACUUCGUG
rnacentral:rRNA from 1 species